rnacentral:rRNA from 1 species
AUUGAACGCUGGCGGCAGGCCUAACACAUGCAAGUCGAGCGAGCGGCGGACGGGUGAGUAAUGUAUGGGGAUCUGCCCGAUAGGGGGGGAUAAAUACUGGAAACGGUGUCUAAUACCGCAUACUCUCCAUUUACCCCAUAUGGGAUUAGCUAGUUGGUGGGGUAAAGGCUCACCUAGGCGACUAUCUCUAGCUGGUCUGAGAGGAUGAUCAGCCACACUGGGACUGAGACACGGCCCAGACUCCUACGGGAGGAAGCAGUGGGGAAUAUUGCAAAAUGGGCGCAAGCCUGAUGCAGCCAUGCCGCGUGUAUGAAGAAGGCCUUAGGGUGGUAAAGUACUUUCAGCGGGGAGGCGUUACCCGCAGAAGAAGCACCGGCUAACUCCGUGCCAGCAGCCGCGGUAAUAC